AAGCGGAGGAAUAGAAACCAACAGGGAUUGCCCUAGUAACGGCGAGUGAAGCGGCAACAGCUCAAAUUUGAAAGCUAGCCUUCGGGUUCGCAUUGUAAUUUGUAGAGGAUGAUUUGGGGAAGCCGCCUGUCUAAGUUCCUUGGAACAGGACGUCAUAGAGGGUGAGAAUCCCGUAUGUGACAGGAAAUGGCACCCUAUGUAAAUCUCCUUCGACGAGUCGAGUUGUUUGGGAAUGCAGCUCUAAAUGGGAGGUAAAUUUCUUCUAAAGCUAAAUAUUGGCGAGAGACCGAUAGCGCACAAGUAGAGUGAUCGAAAGAUGAAAAGCACUUUGGAAAGAGAGUUAAAAAGCACGUGAAAUUGUUGAAAGGGAAGCGCUUGCAAUCAGACUUGUUUAAACUGUUCGGCCGGUCUUCUGACCGGUUUACUCAGUUUGGACAGGCCAGCAUCAGUUUCGGCGGCCGGAUAAAGGCUCUGGGAAUGUGGCCUCCACUUCGGUGGAGGUGUUAUAGCCCAGGGUGUAAUACGGCCAGCCGGGACUGAGGUCCGCGCUUCGGCUAGGAUGCUGGCGUAAUGGUUGUAAGCGACCCGUCUUGAAACACGGACCAAGGAGUCUAACAUCUAUGCGAGUGUUCGGGUGUCAAACCCCUGCGCGUAAUGAAAGUGAACGGAGGUGGGAACCCGCARGGGUGCACCAUCGACCGAUCCUGAUGUCUUCGGAUGGAUUUGAGUAAGAGCAUAGCUGUUGGGACCCGAAAGAUGGUGAACUAUGCCUGAAUAGGGUGAAGCCAGAGGAAACUCUGGUGGAGGCUCGCAGCGGUUCUGACGUGCAAAUCGAUCGUCAAAUUUGGGUAUAGGGGCGAAAGACUAAUCGAACCAUCUAGUAGCUGGUUCCU
rnacentral:rRNA from 1 species